UACGGAGGGUGCAAGCGUUAAUCGGAAUUACUGGGCGUAAAGGGUGCGUAGGCGGUUAGUUAAGUCUGGUGUGAAAUCCCCGGGCUCAACCUGGGAAUGGCAAUGGAUACUGGCUGGCUAGAGUGUGUCAGAGGAUGGUGGAAUUCCCGGUGUAGCGGUGAAAUGCGUAGAGAUCGGGAGGAACAUCAGUGGCGAAGGCGGCCAUCUGGGACAACACUGACGCUGAAGCACGAAAGCGUGGGGAGCAAACAGG
rnacentral:rRNA from 1 species